rnacentral:rRNA from 1 species
AGGAAAAGAAACCAACAGGGAUUGCCUUAGUAGCGGCGAGUGAAGCGGCAAAAGCUCAAAUUUGAAAUCUGGCGCCUUCGGUGUCCGAGUUGUAAUUUGAAGAUUGUAACCUUGGGGUUGGCUCUUGUCUAUGUUUCUUGGAACAGGACGUCACAGAGGGUGAGAAUCCCGUGCGAUGAGAUGCCCAAUUCUAUGUAAGGUGCUUUCGAAGAGUCGAGUUGUUUGGGAAUGCAGCUCUAAGUGGGUGGUAAAUUCCAUCUAAAGCUAAAUAUUGGCGAGAGACCGAUAGCGAACAAGUACAGUGAUGGAAAGAUGAAAAGAACUUUGAAAAGAGAGUGAAAAAGUACGUGAAAUUGUUGAAAGGGAAGGGUUUGAGAUCAGACUCGAUAUUUUGUGAGCCUUGCCUUCGUGGCGGGGUGACCCGCAGCUUAUCGGGCCAGCAUCGGUUUGGGCGGUAGGAUAAUGGCGUAGGAAUGUGACUUUACUUCGGUGAAGUGUUAUAGCCUGCGUUGAUGCUGCCUGCCUAGACCGAGGACUGCGAUUUUAUCAAGGAUGCUGGCAUAAUGAUCCCAAACCGCCC